AGCGAACGCUGGCGGCAGGCUUAACACAUGCAAGUCGAACGCCCCGCAAGGGGAGUGGCAGACGGGUGAGUGACGCGUGGGAACGUGCCCUUCAGUUCGGGAUAACCCAGGGAAACUUGGGCUAAUACCGGAUACGUGCGAGAGCAGAAAGAUUCAUCGCUGAAGGAUCGGCCCGCGUCUGAUUAGCUAGUUGGUGGGGUAAUGGCCCACCAAGGCGACGAUCAGUAGCUGGUCUGAGAGGAUGAUCAGCCACAUUGGGACUGAGACACGGCCCAAACUCCUACGGGAGGCAGCAGUGGGGAAUAUUGGACAAUGGGCGCAAGCCUGAUCCAGCCAUGCCGCGUGAGUGAUGAAGGCCUUAGGGUUGUAAAGCUCUUUCGUCCGGGACGAUAAUGACGGUACCGGAAGAAGAAGCCCCGGCUAACUUCGUGCCAGCCGCCGCGGUAA
rnacentral:rRNA from 1 species